AGGUUUAAUUUGCAAAACUUUAACCAGUUAAACAAUCGUUUGUCAAAAAAAACAAUGUUUUAUUUCCAUAAGUUCAAACAAUUUAGCAGGAAGAAUGAAG